GAUGAACGCUGGCGGCGUGCCUAAUACAUGCAAGUCGAGCGAACAGACGAGGAGCUUGCUCCUCUGACGUUAGCGGCGGACGGGUGAGUAACACGUGGAUAACCUACCUAUAAGACUGGGAUAACUUCGGGAAACCGGAGCUAAUACCGGAUAAUAUAUUGAACCGCAUGGUUCAAUAGUGAAAGACGGUUUUGCUGUCACUUAUAGAUGGAUCCGCGCCGCAUUAGCUAGUUGGUAAGGUAACGGCUUACCAAGGCGACGAUGCGUAGCCGACCUGAGAGGGUGAUCAGCCACACUGGAACUGAGACACGGUCCAGACUCCUACGGGAGGAAGCAGUAGGGAAUCUUCCGCAAUGGGCGAAAGCCUGACGGAGCAACGCCGCGUGAGUGAUGAAGGUCUUCGGAUCGUAAAACUCUGUUAUUAGGGAAGAACAAAUGUGUAAGUAACUAUGCACGUCUUGACGGUACCUAAUCAGAAAGCCACGGCUAACUACGUG
rnacentral:rRNA from 1 species